UCCCUGGUGGUCCAGUGGUUAAGAAUCUGCCUUGCAAUGCAGAGGGCUCAGGUUCAAUUCCUGGUCUGGGAA
rfam:Ovis aries breed Texel chromosome 11, whole genome shotgun sequence.